UGUAUUUAUUAAUUAUAAUUUAAUGUACCUUAAUAUAAAAUAUUUUUUAAUUUGUAUAGUAUUAGCUCAUUUAUUAAACCUUAUUCUUACAAAAAAAAAAGCUUAUAUAAGCUCCAUCUACAGAACCAUUGAUGUAUGGAACUAUACUAGUUCAUGCUUAUUACUACAUUAUCAUUUAUGAACUUAUUUUUGAUCAUUUGUUAACAUUUAUGUUAAUUUACUUGCUUAUUGUUAUAUUAUUGAACCAAUUGCUUUUAUACUUGAUAUUGAAUUGUUUGUAUAUUUUUUUUAACAUGUAACGUUGAAAUAUAAAUAUUGGAUUGAAAAUGUGUGUGUAGUAGUGUUAUAAAAUAGAUAAUAUAUUUUUUAAAUAAAGCUUUCAAACAAUUUCAGAGUUAGUGACGAAAAUGUUAAAGGAAAUUUCAAAACAAGAUCCCGUAAAUUGUCCUAAUCAAUGUGGACGAAAAUAUUCUGGAAAGUAUAGAAAAACUGUUUUAACUAAUCAUCUCAGAUAUGAAUGCGGAAAAGCACCUACAUUUCAAUGCAAUAUUUGCUUUAAGAAAUUCCAUUUGAAAGGAAACCGAAAGACACAUAUGAUAACGGUGCACAAAAUUUUACCAAAUUUUUAGAUGACAUGGUUUAUAGUGAAGGAAUGGAGUUUUGCCCAAAUAUGUGCGGACGCAGUUAUCGAGGAAGAUAUCGUUCUAAGAACAUCAAACGACAUUUGAGAUACGAAUGUGGUGUUCAACCACAAUUUCAGUGUGAUAAAUUAAUUCCAAAUGGCUGAACACUGAUGCAUUGAAAAUGUUAUCGGAAACAGAUCCUGCAACCUGCCCAAAUAAAUGUGGUCAUAAGUAUAAAGGAAAAAGUAGAAAAGCACACCUCAAAAGACAUUUAAUUUAUGAGUGUGGUGUACCGAAGAAAUUUAAUUGUGAACUGUGUCUUAAGAAGUUUUCCUAUAAUGUAUCUCUCCAGAAACAUUAUAAUAUUUGUACAAAGAAUAUAUUGAUGUAUAGUAAUCAUAAUAUUUUCUUAAAUUAACAUACUUAAAUCCAAACUAUUUUUUCACUUAAAAAUUCUGUUAUUAAAAUAAAUAAAUCAAAUUGAAAAAUCAAAAAAUUAUAAAAAUAUUAUUAUGUCCCCUUAUACUCUAAAUUAUGUGAUCAAUUUACGUUUUUGGUUUGUUAACUUAAGAUAUUUUCAGCUUGCUGAUUUAUGUAAAUUUAUUUUAAACAAUUUCGGAUUAAUUAAAUGAUUUCAUUAUGAAAUCAAGUUUUAAUCAAAAAUGCUUGUAUUGUUAUAUUUUUUGUUAUAUUAUUGUAAAAUUGUAUUAAUAUGUAUCAUUAUUUCCGAUUUUCUGUUGUGAAUUAAUAUAAGAAAACAUUAUCCUAGCAACAAUAUUUUACAUUAAUAUUCUUUAUUUUAUCAAUACACAUAAUACAUUAAUCUUCUGGAAUGAUUAUUUAUCUACCUAUACGUUUUAUUUUAUUUUUAAAUAUCUACAAAAUUUAAAUUAUCUCUUAUUCAUUCGAGUCAAUAUGUUUAAGUAUUUAGUACAAUCAUAGAUAAUAUCUAGUUUAUAAUAUCUAUGAGUACAAUUACUGUAAUAUUAUGUUUGAUUCCUCUUUUGGUCUCCUUGAAUGUUAGGACACAACACCCACAACAUGAGUUGCACCCGUUUUAUGAACGUAUGAUGUAGAAAAUUACUGAAAUGCUUUAAAAAUAAUACAAUGUAACAUGUUGUAUUAUUAUUUUAUAAUGUUUGUUUAAUUUUUUUUAUUCAUAAUGGGUUUUUUUUUAAUUUUUAGAAUCAAGACACAAGUGGUUAUCUCAAUUAAACAAAUUGUCCAUAAAUGAUCCAGCUAUUUGUCCAAAUAUGUGUGGUCGAAAAUAUAAAGGCUUAAGGAGAAAAUGUCAUCUCAAACGUCAUUUAAUCGAUGAAUGUGGUGUGCCAAAAAAAUUCCAAUGUCAUUUGUGUGAUAAACGUUUUGCACAGAAUGAUACAUUAAAAUCUCAUUUAAUAAUGGUUCAUAAGCAAGCUAAAGUGCCUCGAUAUCGUGUCUAUAAUGAUGAAUCAACAAACCCUCACUACUCUUUGGGUGAAUUUUGGGCGAAUUUUGGGAAUAGAGAAUAUAGAAAAUGAUAUAGGUAUUUAAUUACACAACAGGCAACAGUUGCAAGAAUAUUAAUGGCAUUUUUGUGUUUUUUAUAUUUCAAAAAUACCUAUAACCUAUGUAAAUAAAAUAUACUGUAGCUACUAAUAAAAAUAUCUUAAGCUUUUUAAUAAGAUGUUAAAUUCUAAAUUAGCAGGCUCCUAGUGCUAAUGUGAUUAUGAAUAAUGAUUCUCUUCUAGUAAUAAACCUGACCAAAUUUGAUUUUUUUUUUUUUAAUUAAUAAUGACAAAUAUUCUAUAGUCCACAUUAAACUAUGUUAUCAAUAUUUUAAUCUCAAACUCUAUAAUAGGUCAGGUACCUAUAUAAAAAAAAAGACAAUUUUUAAGCAUUUUUUUGAGUGGCUAUAGAAAGUCUUUUUCUUUCAGGGUGAAAAAAAUGGUCAUCAAAUUUUGCCACUUCUUCGAGGCCUGAGAGUUUUUCCUAUGAAUUAAUUUAUGUUAAUAAUUAAUAUAAUACACUGUACUACACUCAAUCCUCUAAAUAGAUGUCUGCCAGUAGAUUAAUGGAAAAGUAGCAACUAAAGUAUCAAAUAUAAUUUUCAAUGUAUAUAGAACUGCGGAACUUUGGAAAAUCGACACUGGAGCCCAUUAUUAUUUUGUUGUAACUAAAUCUAUAUGAGCUAAAAGAAAUGUUUUAUUUUGUAUAAAAAAAGGCCACUAUAAUUGUAGUUUAUCUAACAAAAAAAAUAUGCAAAGUUUAGAGGUCUAUUUUUUUUGUAUCAUUAUAUUAUUAUGUUUAAUGAUUUUUUGUUAUUAAUGUAAUUUUUAAUUAUAGAGAUAUCUAGAUAUAGUUAGAUUAAAUAGUAUGCCCUAUUUUCUUAUGCCAACCUAAUCCAUAUCCAUAACUCACAGUAAUACAGUAUAUCAAAAUGGUUUUUUCUUACUAAUAUAUUUGUAAAAUAGAUUUAGGUGAUUUGAUAUUAUAUUUAAUUUAGUUGGUAAAUAACUAAUUCCUUAUUAACUUAUUCUAAAUGAUAAAAUAUAGUCACUUUAUAUUAUUACUUUUCUGUAUAUAACAUUAUACUUAUACUAUUUGGCAUACAUACUUUUUAUAAUAAAAAUAUAAUUUAAUAUGUUCAUUUAUUUAUUUGCUUUCUUUAUAUAGAUUCUUCCUAGUAUCAAUAUCUUAUCCUUACUAUGUUUAUGUUUGGUGAAGAAGGUUCAGCGAUGUUUAUAAUGACGUAUUUUUAUUAAGAUAUUUUAAUAUUACCAUGACAAAUUAAUGUAUUAGUAUAUUACGGAGUCAGAAUCCACAGUGGCAUAUACAAAUAUACGAUGGUUUCGUCUGGAUAGGUGGAAAGUGGAAAAUUUGCAUAAACAGAUUAACUGCAUUCGAUUAUGGCAAGAGCCACAUUUGUUUAUUUUUCAUUAGCUUUUGUUUGGAACUAACUUACUAUUAUAUAAUACUAGUGUGUACCAUUAAUAUAUAUGUAUUCAAGAAUAAAUCCAAUAUUUUUAUAAUUUUAGGAUCAAAAAAAUGGCUACAUUUGCUGUAUGAAAUAUCAAAAUCUGAUCCAGUUUAUUGUCCAAAUCAAUGUGGUCGCUGUUAUAGAGGAGAGCAGCGGAGGGGUCAUUUAAAACGACAUUUAGAUACCGAGUGUGGUGUACCUAAAAGAUUUCUAUGUACUAUUUGUUUUAAACGUUUUUCACAAAAAUGGUCUUUGAAAAAACAUAUGAUUUUAGUACACAAAGUAAUUAUUAGUUAAUGUUUCAAAUAGGUAUGACAAACAUUUAUGUAGAUAAUAAAGUGUGUUAACAUUAUACAAAUAAAGUGUUUUUCAUAAAAAAAAUUCAUUCUAACAUGACAAUGAUAUAAUACAUAAAAUACAUUUAAUUAUUAUAAACAAUUUCUGAAUGGGAAAAUGUAUACCCUUUUAACUUUUUUAACAUCCUUAAACAAUAUAUUAUCAUUUGUUUAUUGAAAUAUUAAUGAGUUGAACCCAAUUUAAAACAUGUUUUAUACUUAUAUGUUAACACUAAUGAGGCACACAAACAAAUUAAUAUAAUUGAUUAUAAUGGAAAUUUGUAUUUGUAUGGUUUUCUUGCUCAUUAUCUAUUACAAAUAAAGUUUGAUUUUGAUUUGUAUUUUAGUUGGUGAUGUGUUGAGGGUUAGGAAAGACUUAGGAAGGCCUUAGGAAAGACUUUUUAGCCAGGAGGGCCAGGAGGUCCUAAGACGUUUGGCUGCCUUUUUGGUGCUGUCUCAUUUAGUGACAUUGUUGUAUAGAUUUGAACCAUAGCUUUGGAUAGAAUACUCGGUAACAAUGACACUACUAACAGGGAAAAGACCACAAAAUGGUACAACAUCACCUCCCCAGUUGGUGAUUAAACAUUUUUAAUGGUUGUUUUUUCCAUAAAUAUCAAUUUUUGGUAUAUGACUUUAUGGUUACUAAUUUUUCAUUUUUGUCUUUAUUAUCUGUAUUGGUAAAUUUGGUUUUUUUUUUAAACAUUAAAUUCUAGAUAUCAUAAUUUACACAAUAUAAAAAUUAAAAUACAAAAUAAACCUUAAAUUUUCAUUUUUAUGGCCUACACAAAAUACAACACCUAACCUAUAAAAUCUAAGAAUACAAUAUUUUUAUGGGUUUAAAGUAUAGGCUUGUUUUUCUUUGAAAACUGUUAUUCCAUAUUAUAAUCUUCCACUUAAAAUGAUUUCCAUACAACAUUUAAAAUCCAUCGGGUAAGUUCAAAUUUAGACUUAUUUUGGGAUUAUAAAUUGAAUGGUUUUGCUAUGUAUCAUACAGUUAUUUUUUAAAUGUGUUCACAAUAUACAUUAUAGUAUGUACACAGGUGUAGCUAGGGCUUAUUUAUGGUGGGGGGGAAAGGUUAAGAGUACCUAUACAUAAAUAUAGUGUACACAUUAAUGAACCUAUAUAUUAUACAAAAUACAAAAUAUGGUAAUUGGGUAGAGGGGUUGUAGCCACUGAUUAUUUAAGUAUUUGUUACGCAAUAGGUAUUACUUAUAUAGUUAUAUAUAUAUAUAUAACAAAGGAACACAAAUUGUACAAACAAUUAUUAAGUACAAUAAAUAACUGUUAUGAAUUCAUACUGGAUGACCAAACUGGAUGCUAUAUCUAUAUUAAACCCUGCCAUAUGUCCGAACAUCAAUUGCAUGCGGAAGUACAAAGGAAUGCAUCGAAAAAAGUUAUUAAAACGGCAUUUGAUGUAUGAAUGUGGCGUACCUAGGCAAUUUCGAUGUUUCGAAUGUCAGAGGGAAUUUGCACAAAACUAUUCAUUAAAAAAACACAUGGCCAUUGUUCAUAGGCGGUUCACUUAAUAAAUAUAUAAUAUUACAAUAAUAUAUAAAUACCUCUGUAAAUUGUAUGUACCAAUAUCUAUAUAUUUACAGAUAACAAUAGUU